AUGGCCGAUGACUGACUCAGUUCUUGUGUCAAAAUCAUAUGAUGGAAUGAUUGCCAUUUCGUCAAGCAAAAGAACACAGUCUCUUUCUUGAUCUCCCAUGGAGGAAGCCUUUCAAUGCAAAUUAACCUUCAGUAUACAAUAUUUUGUAUGUUUACCUUCAAUUGCAAUGCUGCAAAAACCUCAUAUGUAAGACCCGAGGAAAAUUCAAUGUGCUCCAUUCGUCGAUUAAGUGUUCUUAUAGAAGUGUGGAAGUGCAAAAUUUCAUUAAUAUACUUCAUCAAUUUAAAAAUGGUAUUGCUUAACCUUUUCCAUAACCAGGCUUCUUGGAAAGCUCUUUCUUCAACAUUUCCGAUUCCUCUCGCAGC